GACGAACGCUGGCGGCGUGCCUAAUACAUGCAAGUCGAACGCUUCUUUCCUCCCGAGUGCUUGCACUCAAUUGGAAAGAGGAGUGGCGGACGGGUGAGUAACACGUGGGUAACCUACCCAUCAGAGGGGGAUAACACUUGGAAACAGGUGCUAAUACCGCAUAACAGUUUAUGCCGCAUGGCAUAAGAGUGAAAGGCGCUUUCGGGUGUCGCUGAUGGAUGGACCCGCGGUGCAUUAGCUAGUUGGUGAGGUAACGGCUCACCAAGGCCACGAUGCAUAGCCGACCUGAGAGGGUGAUCGGCCACACUGGGACUGAGACACGGCCCAGACUCAUACGGGAGGCAGCAGUAGGGAAUCUUCGGCAAUGGACGAAAGUCUGACCGAGCAACGCCGCGUGAGUGAAGAAGGUUUUCGGAUCGUAAAACUCUGUUGUUAGAGAAGAACAAGGACGUUAGUAACUGAACGUCCCCUGACGGUAUCUAACCAGAAAGCCACGGCUAACUACGUG
rnacentral:rRNA from 1 species